GACUUUGUAACUCAGAUGGUAGAGCAUCGUUCUAUAAAUACGAAGGUCGCGGGUUCGAACCCCGGCUGCAAGUUG